UCUUGCGCAAUGGGCGAAAGCCUGACGCAGCGACGCCGCGUGCGGGAAGAAGGCCUUCGGGUUGUAAACCGCUUUCACGCCCCGCCGAAGCCACUCGGGUCAAUACCCCAGAGGGUGACGGUACCUCCGGAAGAAGCCCCGGCUAACUACGUGCCAGCAGCCGCGGUAAUACGUAGGGGGCUAGCGUUGUCCGGAUUUAUUGGGCGUAAAGAGCGUGUAGGCGGCCAGGUAGGUCUGCUGUGAAAACCCGAGGCUUAACCUCGGGACGCCGGCGGAAACCAUCUGGCUAGAGUCCGGAAGAGGAGAGCGGAAUUCCUGGUGUAGCGGUGAAAUGCGCAGAUAUCAGGAAGAACACCCGUGGCGAAGGCGGCUCUUUGGGACGGUACUGACGCGAGACGCGAAACGA
rnacentral:rRNA from 1 species